UAUGGUCCUUUUACCAUAGAGUUCCAGAAGGAAGAAUGAAAGAAAGACAGAGCAAUGGGAAGGCUUCAAAGAAUUGGCAGGUCUGACAUUAAAUGAAGUUUUAUCCAAGGCCAAGUAAAGAGAGGAAUAAAGAAGGAUGGUUGACAGAACUUGUGUGGUGCCCCAAUGGUUCAACAGAUUAGGUAAAGUAAUUAGAUUCAUUGUGAAGAUGUGUGCACUGGGCUGGAACAUUUCCAGAGAAAGCUGGACUAGCCAUGCAUCAGCAUACUAGCCAAGAUUGAUACCUCUCCACAAAUCAACAAAGACAUCAACGAAGCUUUGUUAAAGCUAGUGACAAUUUACAUAUGUUUUCUUAUGUGGCUUAAUUAUAAUAAUGUCAAGAAAGUUAAUUAAAUAAGAACUAUACAUUUUAUUGUUAGGCUUAUGUUAGUCUUAACUAUUUCUGUAAUUCUUCAUUAUGGGGGGCAUUAUGAAUCUUAGAUAGUUUUCAAUGGACCUCAUUCACCAAUUGUAAACAAACAACAUUUAGCCACGUGGUGCUUUAUCUCUUCUAUAUAAUUUACGAUCUCAUGUUUAAUUUAUGAUGGUUGUCACGAGACAGUUUUUUUCAUUGUUUUAUCAAUAAGAUCAUGUGACUAAAUGUUGGUGAAUGAGGUCCAUUCUAAGAUAAGUUAAUUUUUAUUGAUCCAAUCAAAUGGAUAUUCAGUUUGACUACAAUUUUGCUUAUAAAAAGCUCAAUCAUAUAGUUUUGUAUUAAAUAAUAGUUUAAUUGCGUUUUAGGUACUGAUAGUUAGUAUGCUAUGUAAUAUUUAAAUGCAGUUUUUUAUUAUUAAAAAUCAUUGUUAUGUAAAGAAUGAUUUUCUGUAAUAUUAGACAUAAUUGUAGGUCUUUCUGUGUAGCAACUAUACUGCACACUUUUUUUUCAUUCCUACGAGUAGAUAAUAUAAUUUAUUCAAUGAUAAUAAAGAGCUUUGAAAUAAAUGUCUUUAUAA